UGGGGAAUAUUGGGCAAUGGGCGAAAGCCUGACCCAGCCACGCCGCGUGAGUGAUGAAGGCCUUCGGGUCGUAAAGCUCUGUGGGGAGGGACGAACAAGGUGCGUGCUAAUAUCACGUGCCCCUGACGGUACCUCCUUAGCAAGCACCGGCUAACCAUGUGCCAGCAGCCGCGGUAAUACAUGGGGUGCAAACGUUGCUCGGAAUUAUUGGGCGUAAAGCGCACGUAGGUGGUCCCUUAAGUCGGAUGUGAAAGCCCUCGGCUCAACUGAGGAAGUGCAUCCGAAACUGAGGGGCUGGAGUAUGGUAGAGGGUCGCGGAAUUCCCGGUGUAGAGGUGAAAUUCGUAGAUAUCGGGAGGAACACCGGUGGCGAAGGCGGCGACCUGGGCCAAUACUGACACUGAGGUGCGAAAGCGUGGGGAGCAAACAG
rnacentral:rRNA from 1 species